CUUCAGAAGAUGAGUCCAAAAUAGGACGAAAUACGCUUGCUGGAC
rnacentral:hammerhead_ribozyme from 1 species